CUUGACAUCCUUUGACCACUCUGGAGACAGAGCUUUCCCUUCGGGGACAAAGUGACAGGUGGUGCAUGGUUGUCGUCAGCUCGUGUCGUGAGAUGUUGGGUUAAGUCCCGCAACGAGCGCAACCCUUGAUUUUAGUUGCCAGCAUUUAGUUGGGCACUCUAAAGUGACUGCCGGUGCAAGCCGGAGGAAGGUGGGGAUGACGUCAAAUCAUCAUGCCCCUUAUGACCUGGGCUACACACGUGCUACAAUGGAUAGUACAAAGGGUCGCGAAGCCGCGAGGUGGAGCUAAUCCCAUAAAACUAUUCUCAGUUCGGAUUGUAGGCUGCAACUCGCCUACAUGAAGCCGGAAUCGCUAGUAAUCGUGGAUCAGCAUGCCACGGUGAAUACGUUCCCGGGCCUUGUACACACCGCCCGUCACACCACGAGAGUUUGUAACACCCGAAGUCGGUAGGGUAACCUUUAUGGAGCCAGCCGCCGAAGG
rnacentral:rRNA from 1 species